rnacentral:SRP_RNA from 13 species
GCCGGGUGCAGUGGCAUGUGCCUGUAAUCCAAGUCACUGGGAGGCUGAGGUUGGUGGAUCAAGUGAGCUGAGGAGCUCUGGGCUGCAGCACGCUAUGUCGAACGGGUGUCCACGCUAAGUUCGGUAUCGAUAUGGUGUUCCUGGGGGAGCCUGGGACCACCAGGUUGUCUAAGGAGGGGUGAACCGGCCAAGGUCGGAAACGAAGCAGGUCAAAUNNNNNNNNNNGACACUGUUUUGCAGCUUUCCAAAAACAAUUACCGUUAUACCUUCUGAUAAUCGAGAAUUAUACUGAC